rnacentral:rRNA from 1 species
GAUGAACGCUAGCGACAGGCCUAACACAUGCAAGUCGAGGGGCAGCACGAAGUAAGCUUGCUUACUUUGGUGGCGACCGGCGCACGGGUGCGUAACGCGUGAGCAACUUGCCCGUUUCAGGGGGAUAACCGGUGGAAACGCCGACUAAUACCCCAUGGUAUGUUUUUAAGGCAUCUUUUAAACAUUAAAGAAUUUCGGAAACGGAUAGGCUCGCGUGACAUUAGCUAGAUGGCGGGGUAACGGCCCACCAUGGCGACGAUGUCUAGGGGUUCUGAGAGGAAGGUCCCCCACACUGGAACUGAGACACGGUCCAGACUCCUACGGGAGGCAGCAGUGAGGAAUAUUGGUCAAUGGUCGAGAGACUGAACCAGCCAUGCCGCGUGAAGGUGACGGCCCUAUGGGUUGUAAACCUCUUUAGUCGGGGAGCAAAAAGGAUCACGCGUGGUCCAUUGAGCGUACCCGAAGAAUAAGCAUCGGCUAACUCCGUG